rnacentral:rRNA from 1 species
UUCGAUGCAACGCGAAGAACCUACCUCGGUCUUGACAUCCCGGAGACCCUUAGGAAACUAGGGGGUGGCUUCCAUCUGGAAGAAUCUGGAGACAGGUGCUGCAUGGCUGUCGUCAGCUCGUGUCGUGAGAUGUUGGGUUAAGUCCCGCAACGAGCGCAACCCUUGCCUUUAGUUGCCAGCAGUUCGGCUGGGCACUCUAAAGGGACUGCCGGUGUUAAACCGGAGGAAGGUGGGGAUGACGUCAAGUCCUCAUGGCCUUUAUGACCAGGGCUACACACGUACUACAAUGGCCGAUACAAAGGGCAGCGACACUGCGAGGUGAAGCCAAUCCCGUAAAAUCGGUCUCAGUCCGGAUUGGAGUCUGCAACUCGACUCCAUGAAGUUGGAAUCGCUAGUAAUCGUGGAUCAGCAUGCCACGGUGAAUACGUUCCCGGGCCUU